GGCUCUGCCAAGGACGCUGCGCUCGUGACUGAGCGCGGGCUGGAGCAACCGCCAACUGAGUGCAAACCCUUUGCGCCCGGACCCGUCCAACGACUAUAAAGAGAGCAGACUGUCCGCUAAGCCUCAUCCCGACUUCAGCAGCCUGACUGCCUUCUUGUCGCUUACACCGUUGCUCCAGAUUCACCAGAUCUCGGAAUGGACCCCAACUGCUCCUGCUCCACCGGUAAGACGCCCGGUCCUUGGUCUUUAGAAUACCCAGUUGUAGGGGUUUGGCGGGAAUAGGCACCUUUAGUUGACAAUUCGUCCUAGUUCUUUCUAGAACCCGCUCUUGGAAUCGCCUUCACCUGUUCUUGGAGUAUUAUUAUUGUCCGAACGGCUCCUUGUCGGGGUUUGGGGUAGGAUUUAGACGCGCAAAUAAAUGUCCCGAUCACCCACGUAGUGGGGACAUCUGAGUUGAGACCCAGUUGUUACUAACCUUAUUGUGAAUUGCCUGAUCUACAAGAGAGGUGAGAGACCGUUGUGUCUUGAGAUCAAAGACCCAAGCCUUACCCUACCCUGUGAGGAGAGAAGAGGGGCUAGGCUCCCUGGAGUUCUGAAUAGCACUUUGAAUUGAGCAGGGCACAUGGUGUUGGCCACUGCUGUAAUCCUGCCUCUUACUGACCGCUGUCUUCCUUCUCCUCCACAGGCGGCUCCUGCACCUGCUCCAGCUCCUGCGGCUGCAAGAACUGCAAAUGCACCUCCUGCAAGAAGAGCUGCUGCUCCUGCUGCCCCGUGGGCUGCUCCAAAUGUGCCCAGGGCUGUGUCUGCAAAGGUGCCUCGGACAAGUGCACGUGCUGUGCCUGAAGUGACGAACAGUGCUGCUGCCCUCAGGUGUAAAUAAUUUCCGGACCAACUCAGAGUCUUGCCGUACACCUCCACCCAGUUUACUAAACCCCGUUUUCUACCGAGCAUGUGAAUAAUAAAAGCCUGUUUAUUCUAACUC
rnacentral:lncRNA from 1 species